GUGCUUGCUUCAGCAGCACAUAUAUUGACUGACAUUGGAAUGAGGCAGAGAUUAGCAGGGUCUCUGCACAAGGAUUUAAUAUGCAAACUCGUGAAGUGUUUCAUGUUUAA
rnacentral:snRNA from 1 species